GAAUGUGAGGGAGAGGUCUGGCUGCAACACCUGUCACCCCUCCAGUCACCAGGCUUGAUUCAGCUGAUCUGGCUGGCUAGGUAGGCGUUCCCUUCCUCCCUCCCUCCUUC
rnacentral:snRNA from 1 species